GUGCCAGCAGCCGCGGUAAUACGUAGGGUGCGAGCGUUAAUCGGAAUUACUGGGCGUAAAGUGUGCGCAGGCGGCACCGCAAGUCGAGUGUGAAAGCCCCGGGCUUAACUUGGGAAUUGCGCUCGAAACUAUGGUGCUGGAGUGUGGCAGAGGAAGGUGGAAUUCCAGGUGUAGCGGUGAAAUGCGUAGAGAUCUGGAGGAACACCGAUGGCGAAGGCAGCCUUCUGGGCCAACACUGACGCUCAUGCACGAAAGCGUGGGGAGCAAACAGGAUUAGAUACCCCGGUAGUCC
rnacentral:rRNA from 1 species